AUUUAGAAGAAGGUCUCUGCAAGUUUUUCCUGAAAAGAGGCAGGUAUUAUUGAGCAACCAGCAGAGAGACUAGCCUGAUGACCAUCCUGAAUCAAAACUAAUGAUGGGAAAUUAAAAUGGGCUGAGGGCUUGGAAACUAGUAGAGAGGCUAGACUACUGACCUGCUGGAGCUGGAGAGGGUUGAAGACUGAAAGAGGCAGUGGGAUGUGCCUGUUGGCUCUCUGAAUCAGAGAGAGCUGGAAGUGUGGCAAGGCUAGCAGUGUGGGAGCAGGCCAGGAAUUUCAAUGAACUCCUCUUUGUGUGGAAAACACAGUACAAUGAAACAGAAGAGAGAAAAACUGGAAAAUAAAAUGGGCCUGAGUAUCCUCUCUGCACUUGAUCAGGUGGAUGCAGAUGGAGAUGCAAUAAAUUACAGCAUUCUCCAAAUCCCAUAGAAGAUUGUCAUCUAAAACAGGUUUAAACCAAUGUGCACAAAGUUGUACCAGUGGGACUGAAUUGAUUUAACAUCACUCCUUUAGUUAAACCAGUGCAACUUUGUGUGUACACCGGGGCUGUGUAUGUGUGCAGACCUGAUCUUAGAGGAGGCCUCAAUGUACGGGAAAACUGUUACGUUACGUAUUCUAACUGUAUAUUGUGUUAUGGCAUCGUUUUAAAAAUUGUUCACAAUCACCAUUUUGAAUUCUGUAAAGUUGUCUUGGAGCCAUGUUGGUCUCCCUUCUUGUUGGGCUUUUGGCGCCCUUUUUCUGUAAGGUGGGAAAAGAUUGGUCACAUGAUCCGACAAUACUGCCCAGAAACAAGAGAGUAUAUAAGCUCCUUUCACAGGCUAUAGGGUGCUGUCCAUCAUGGUGGCAGCCCAUGUCCACGUCGGUCAUUGGUCGUUGUGAGCAGUCUCCAAGAGGCAACACAUCAACUCACCCCUACUUACCUGAGAUUGAGGGAUUCUGGUCCAGCAGCUGAUUUGAUCCGUGUUCCUCCUGUGUACAUCACCAUAACCAGGCACAGUAGAAGGUCUGGGUUGUCCAUAGCACUGGAGCUGAGGCAAUCAUGACCCUCCAUCCGUGACUGACAUCUCAUCUGUAAAGUAUAGAUUUCUGGACUGUUAGUCCAUAACACCUGUAAGGUCUAGAGGGACUGGGCUUCACACCCUUGAUUCCAAACCACUGAGUGUUCUUUACUUUCCUGUACCUAAUAAACUUUCUUUUCGUUCACCUUUAA